rnacentral:rRNA from 1 species
GUGCCAGCAGCAGCGGUUAUACGGAUAGAAUAAGCGUUUAACAUAAUAAAAAGGCCUAAAAAGUAUGUAGAUGGAAAAAAACAAAUCUUUUUCUAGAGUAAUAAAGAUGUUUGUAGUAUUGUCAAAUAAGGGAUCAAAUCCGACAAUCUUGAUGAGACUGCUUAAGUAAAAACUACUUACAAUUAAUUACUGACAUUGAGAUACGAAGGCUUAGAUCGCGAAAGAGAUUAGAUACCUCUGUAGUCUAAGCUGUAAACGAUUAUUGCUCUCCCAAUCUUUUUGAUUGGGUUUAGUGAAGACGGUAAGCAAUAUGCCUGGGGAGUACUUUCGCAAGAUUGAAACCCAAAACAUUAGACGGUCUUGGAAAUCCGCAGUGAAUCAU